rnacentral:rRNA from 1 species
GUCGGGAAUAUUGCGCAAUGGAGGAAACUCUGACGCAGUGACGCCGCGUAUAGGACGAAGGUCUUCGGAUUGUAAACUAUUGUCGUUAGGGAAGAGAAAGGACAGUACCUAAGGAGGAAGCUCCGGCUAACUACGUGCCAGCAGCCGCGGUAAUACGUAGGGAGCAAGCGUUAUCCGGAUUUAUUGGGUGUAAAGGGUGCGUAGACGGGAAUUUAAGUUAGUUGUGAAAUCCCUCGGCUCAACUGAGGAACUGCAACUAAAACUGGAUUUCUUGAGUGUUGGAGAGGAAAGCGGAAUUCCUAGUGUAGCGGUGAAAUGCGUAGAUAUUAGGAGGAACACCAGUGGCGAAGGCGGCUUUCUGGACAAUAACUGACGUUGAGGCACGAAAGUGUGGGGAGCAAACAGGAUUAGAUACCCGAGUAGUCC